UACAGAGGGUGCGAGCGUUGUUCGGAAUUAUUGGGCGUAAAGGGCGCGUAGGCGGUGCGGUAAGUCACCUGUGAAAUCUCCUGGCUCAACUGGGAGCUUGCAGGCGAAACUGCCGUGCUGGAGUGUGGGAGAGGUGCGUGGAAUUCCCGGUGUAGCGGUGAAAUGCGUAGAUAUCGGAAGGAACACCUGUGGCGAAAGCGGCUCACUGGACCAUAACUGACGCUGAGGCACGAAAGCUAGGGGAGCAAACAGG
rnacentral:rRNA from 1 species